GACGAACGCUGGCGGCGUGCCUAAUACAUGCAAGUUGAGCGCUGAAGGUUGGUACUUGUACCAACUGGAUGAGCAGCGAACGGGUGAGUAACGCGUGGGGAAUCUGCCUUUGAGCGGGGGACAACAUUUGGAAACGAAUGCUAAUACCGCAUAAAAACUUUGAACACAAGUUUUAAGUUUGAAAGAUGCAAUUGCAUCACUCAAAGAUGAUCCCGCGUUGUAUUAGCUAGUUGGUGAGGUAAAGGCUCACCAAGGCGAUGAUACAUAGCCGACCUGAGAGGGUGAUCGGCCACAUUGGGACUGAGACACGGCCCAAACUCCUACGGGAGGCAGCAGUAGGGAAUCUUCGGCAAUAGACGAAAGUCUGACCGAGCAACGCCGCGUGAGUGAAGAAGGUUUUCGGAUCGUAAAACUCUGUUGGUAGAGAAGAACGUUGGUGAGAGUGGAAAGCUCAUCAAGUGACGGUAACUACCCAGAAAGGGACGGCUAACUACGUG
rnacentral:rRNA from 1 species